GCGCCCUUAGCUCAGCCGGAUAGAGCAGUGGACUUCUAAUCCACCGGUCGGGGGUUCGAAUCCCUCAGGGCGCG
rnacentral:tRNA from 2 species